AGUGGGCGUGCAGGAGAAGCUGUAGGUCAGGAGGUAGAGUUGGCAGUGGGCGUGCAGGAGAAGCUGUAGGUCGGAGAGGUAGAGGUGGCAGUGGGCGUGCAGGAGAAGCUGUAGGUCAGGGGGUAGAGGUGGCAGUGGGCGUGCAGGAGAAGCUGUAGGUCAGAGUGGAUAGGUGGCAGUGGGCGUGCAGGAGAAGCUGUAGGUCAGGAGGUAGAGGUGGCAGUGGGCGUGCAGGAGAAGCUGUAGGUCAGGAGGUAGAGGUGGCAGUGGGCGUGCAGGAGAAGCUGUAGGUCAGGAGGUAGAGUUGGCAGUGGGCGUGCAGGAGAAGCUGUAGGUCGGAGAGGUAGAGGUGGCAGUGGGCGUGCAGGAGAAGCUGUAGGUCGGGAGGUAGAGGUGGCAGUGGGCGUGCAGGAGAAGCUGUAGGUCAGAGAGGUAGAGGUGGCAGUGGGCGUGCAGGAGAAGGUGUAGGUCGGGAGGUAGAGGUGGCAGUGGGCGUGCAGGAGAAGCUGUAGGUC
rnacentral:lncRNA from 1 species